rnacentral:rRNA from 1 species
AAGGAGUUUAUGAUAUAUACGAGUCUGCGGGUGCAAAAACCCAUAGGCGCAAUGAAAGUAAGUACAAGUAGCCAAGCCGUCAAAAGCCGCAGCUACAGCCGACCUUGAUCUUCUGAGAAGGGUUUGAGCAAGAGUAUAUCUCAUAAGACCCGAAAGAUGGUGAACUAUACUUGAGUAGCUUGAAGUCUAAGGAAACUUAGAUGGAAGGGCGAACAGGUUCUGACGUGCAAAUCGAUCUCGAAACUUGAGUAUAGGGGCGAUAGACUAAUCGAACUAUCUAGUAGCUGGUUCACUCUGAAGUUUCUCUCAGGAUAGCAGGAGCAAAAUACGCAGUUUUAUCAGGUAAAGCGAAUGAUUAGAGGAAUCGGGAAGCCAAGCUUUUUGACCUAUUCUCAAACUUUAAAUUGGUAAGAACAGGUGGUUAAGCUUAAUUGAACCAUCUGGCGGAAUGCAUUGCUCUUAGUGGGCCAUUUUUGGUAAGCAGAACUGGCGAUGAGGGAUGCUCCUAACGUUGAGUUAAGGCGUCAAAAUACAAGUUAAUCAAGCACCACAAAGGGUGUUAAUUAAUAUAGACAGCACGACAGUGGUCAUGGAAGUUGAAAUCUGCUAAGGAGUGUGUAACAACUCACGUGCCGAAUUAAUUAGCCCCGAAAAUGGAUGACAUUCAAACUUGUUGCCGAUACUCGACCAUCAGACUAAAUGUGCGCAGUCUGAUGUGUAAGAGUGCGUGGCGGCUCUGUUGAAGGCGCUGGCGUGAGCCUCGCUGGAAAAGCCGCUAGUGCAGAUCUUGGUGGUAGUAGCAAUUAUUCAAAUGAGAACUUUGAAGGCCGAGUAAAAGUAAAGGUUUGAUGAGAAACGCAUUGUGUCAUCAGUUAGUCGCUCCUAAGGCAUAGGGAAAUUCCCUGUAACACAAGAGCGAUUUCUUUGCUCGUUGCCAAAAGGGAGUCCGGUUAAUAUUCCGGAACUUGGUUGAGGAUAAUAUGUGGUAACACAAGUGAGCUUGGGGACGUCAGUCCUAUCCCCUGAAAGAGUUAUCUUUUCUUUUUAACCAGCUGUCGCCCUUGAAUUGGAUUAUCCAGAGGUAGGGCUUACAUGCUGGGCAGAACCUCACACUUAUGUAAGGUCAGGUGGUAGGGAAUGAUUCUUAAAAACCCGAGUAAGAGAUUUAUUCGCUCACCAAAGCGUACUCAUAACCGCAUCAGGUGCUUCAGGUUAACAGCCUCUGGUCAAUUAGAAGAAUGUAGAUAAGGGAAUUCGGCAAGUUUAAUCCGUAAUUUCGAGAAAAGGAUUGGCUCUAAGGAUUGGGUUACGAAGCCCUGGUCCUGAACGCUUAGCUUCUUUGCUGCUGUCGAGGGCAACUUUGACGGCUGCAUUGAGGCGAACGCUGGAAGGCCAGGGAUGCCUUCGCGGGCGUUUCGUAGCAAUUAACAAUUAACUUAGAACUGAAACGGACAAGAGGAAUCCGACUGUUUACUUAAAACAUAGCUUUGUGAUGGUGUGAAAACACGUUGACACAAAGUGAUUUCUGCCCAGUGCUAGAAUUGUCAAAGUGAAGAAAUUCGUUUAAGCGCUAGUAAACGGCGGGAGUAACUAUGACUCUCUUAAGGUAGCCAAAUGCCUUGUCGUUUAAUUUGCGACGCGCAUGAAUGGAUCAAUGAGAUUCCUAAUGUCCCUAUCUACUAUCUAGCGAAACCACAGUAAAGGGAACGGGCUUUAGAUAUAAUCAGCGGGGAAAGAAGACCCUGUUGAGCUUGACCAUAGUAAGAUUUUGUGAAAUGACGGUGAAGGUAUAGCCUAAGUGGGAGUGCAAACGAUCCUGUAAAACCACUACUUUGCUUGCCAUUUUACUUAUUCCGUGAGGUUGUGACCUCUCACGAGGUUCUAGCUCCAAGGCGAAGCUUCGCUUCGCCGAUCAAAGCGGAAGACAGAAUUUUGUAGGUGGUUUGGCUGGGGCGGUACAACUGCAAAACAAUAACGCAGUUGUCCUAAGUUAAGCUCAAAGAGAACAGAAAUCUCUUGUAGACUAUAAGGGGAAAAGCUUAAUUGAUUUUGAUUUUCAGUACAAAUACAAACUGUGAAAGCAUGGCCUAACGAUCCUUUAGCCUUUAAAAGUUUUAAGCUAGAGGUGUCAGAAAAGUUACCACCGGGAUAACUGAUUCGUGGCAGCCAAGAGUCCCAAUCGACGUUGCUUUUUGAUCCUUCGAUGUCGGCUCUUCCUAUCAUUGGGAAGCAGAAUUCCCAAAGUGUCGGAUUGUUCACCCGCUAACAGGGAACGUGAGCUGGGUUUAGACCGUCGUGAGACAGGUUAGUUUUACCCUACUGAUGAAUUGGUUAUCGCGACAGUAAUCAGUCUUAGUACGAGAGGAACCGACUGUUCGUAUAUUUGGUAAUGGGGUUGGUUGAACAGCCAAUGCCCCAAAGCUAUCAUACGCAGGAUAAUGGCUGAACGCCUCUAAGUCAGAAUCCAUGCUGGAACCGAUGAUAUUCACCUUGACCGAUGUUCGUGUAUAACGAUAACCUUCGGGUCAACAUCAUACAAUACCGGCACUGCCUCUUAAAAGGGCACGUACGGUGAAAAAUAAUUUCCAAUGUUGGUCGAGUUAAAUCCUUUGUAGACGACUUAAUAUGGAACGGAGUACUGUAA